rnacentral:rRNA from 1 species
UACGGGGGGGGCAAGCGUUGUUCGGAAUUACUGGGCGUAAAGGGCUCGUAGGCGGCCAACUAAGUCAGACGUGAAAUCCCUCGGCUUAACCGGGGAACUGCGUCUGAGACUGGAAGGCUUGAAUCCGGGAGAGGGAUGUGGAAUUCCAGGUGUAGCGGUGAAAUGCGUAGAUAUCUGGAGGAACACCGGUGGCGAAGGCGGCAUCCUGGACCGGUAUUGACGCUGAGGCGCGAAAGCCAGGGGAGCAAACGGG